AAAAAUCUGGGUUCAUCAUCAUGUAAGGCAAAGGGGACUUCUCUUUCAAUUAAAGCUGGAAGAAAGCUGAAGGAGAGGUAAUUUUAUCAUUUUCAAAUCUCGUUAUUUUAUUAUUAUGAUUGGAAAAAUGUAUAAUUAAAGAAAAAUAUCUGUAAAUUCUUGCUAAUUGGUAGAUCUCAUAAUCCAAUGAAGAAGAAGGUGUAUAUAUUUUGUAGAUAUCCAACCAAGUCGAAGAAGAUAAGGGAUUAAGGGAUUGAGAAAAAGAAUGAAAGUAGAACACAAUUAGUUAAUGUCUUAAUGAAAAAAGACUUGGAGAUAAAUAUAAAAACGCACAAGUAAAGAGGAAGACAAAACUUAGAAUAUUAAGGGAAUAAGGAAAGAAAGAAAGAAAGAAAGACAAAGAUGAGGUUGAGAAGAAGGAAGGAAUCAGCGACGAAGGUUCUUGACUUUGGACCAUCCCUUCUUGCAAGUUUUUCCGACGACUUUGAUACCUUUCUUGAACAGAUGCUUCAGCUCCAUAGCCCUCAUCUUCACCUGAUCCUCGAAUGCUCCCAUCUUCUUCUUCUCCUUCUCCUUUCUUUGGAUACCUUUCUCUCUCUCUCUAUCUGUCUUCUUCUUCUUCUUUUCUCUCUCUGUUCCUCAGAGGCACCAGAGAUGUAUUAAAGUUUUGUCUGGGCCAUCCUCAUCUCUUUAUAUAUAUAUAUAUAUAUAUAUAUAUAUAUAUAUAUCUAUCUAUCUAUCUAAAGAGGAUGGGUAUACAAGACAGCUAUGAAUUAAAUUUAUUCUGAGAAAUGUUUAUUAAUAGAGAUAAAUGAGGGGAGAGAGAGAGAGAUUACACCUAAGCAAAGGCUAAGCUAAUCCUGAGUUUGCUUUAAUUAACAACUGAAUUUUGAAUUUUGGGGUUUUAACAAGAAUACACCAUGGUCUUUGUUGAAAAG
rnacentral:lncRNA from 1 species